rnacentral:rRNA from 1 species
UACGUAGGGUGCGAGCGUUGUCCGGAAUUAUUGGGCGUAAAGAGCUUGUAGGCGGUUUGUCGCGUCUGCUGUGAAAAUCCGGGGCUCAACCCCGGACUUGCAGUGGGUACGGGCAGGCUAGAGUGUGGUAGGGGAGACUGGAAUUCCUGGUGUAGCGGUGAAAUGCGCAGAUAUCAGGAGGAACACCGAUGGCGAAGGCAGGUCUCUGGGCCAAUACUGACGCUGAGAAGCGAAAGCAUGGGGAGCGAACAGG